rnacentral:tRNA from 1 species
GCCCGGCUGGCUCAGUUGGCAGAGUGUGUGACUCUUGAUCUCAGGAUUGUGGGUUUGAGCCCCACGUUGUGUG